UAAUGCCGGAUGCUCCGACUCCUCGCAUGGGGUGUCGGGAAAGAUUUCAUCGGUAUGGGAUGGGGUCGCGUCCUAUCAGGUAGUCGGCGGGGUAACGGCCCACCGAGCCUACGACGGGUAGCCGGCCUGAGAGGGCGACCGGCCACAUUGGGACUGAGAUACGGCCCAGACUCCUACGGGAGGCAGCAGUGGGGAAUAUUGCACAAUGGGCGCAAGCCUGAUGCAGCGACGCCGCGUGCGGGAUGACGGCCUUCGGGUUGUAAACCGCUUUUGAUCGGGAGCAAGCCUUCGGGUGAGUGUACCUUUCGAAUAAGCACCGGCUAACUACGUGCCAGCAGCCGCGGUAAUACGUAGGGUGCAAGCGUUAUCCGGAAUUAUUGGGCGUAAAGGGCUCGUAGGCGGUUCGUCGCGUCCGGUGUGAAAGUCCAUCGCUUAACGGUGGAUCUGCGCCGGGUACGGGCGGGCUGGAGUGCGGUAGGGGAGACUGGAAUUCCCGGUGUAACGGUGGAAUGUGUAGAUAUCGGGA
rnacentral:rRNA from 1 species